rnacentral:rRNA from 1 species
GAUGAACGCUGGCGGCGUGCCUAAUACAUGCAAGUCGAGCGAACGGACGAGAAGCUUGCUUUUCUGAUGUUAGCGGCGGACGGGUGAGUAACACGUGGAUAACCUACCUAUAAGACUGGGAUAACUUCGGGAAACCGGAGCUAAUACCGGAUAAUAUUUUGAACCGCAUGGUUCAAAAGUGAAAGACGGUCUUGCUGUCACUUAUAGAUGGAUCCGCGCUGCAUUAGCUAGUUGGUAAGGUAACGGCUUACCAAGGCAACGAUGCAUAGCCGACCUGAGAGGGUGAUCGGCCACCCUGGAACUGAGACACGGUCCAGACUCCUACGGGAGGCAGCAGUAGGGAAUCUUCCGCAAUGGGCGAAAGCCUGACGGAGCAACGCCGCGUGAGUGAUGAAGGUCUUCGGAUCGUAAAACUCUGUUAUUAGGGAAGACCAUAUGUGUAAGUAACUGUGCACAUCUUGACGGUACCUAAUCAGAAAGCCACGGCUAACUACGUG